rnacentral:rRNA from 1 species
UACAGAGGUCCCAAGCGUUGUUCGGAUUCACUGGGCAUAAAGGGUGCGUAGGCGGUCGGGUAAGUCUGAUGUGAAAUCUCACAGCUUAACUGUGAAACUGCAUUGGAUACUAUUCGGCUUGAGAGUUGGAGGGGGGACUGGAAUUCUUGGUGUAGCAGUGAAAUGCGUAGAUAUCAAGAGGAACACCAGUGGCGAAGGCGAGUCCCUGGACAACUUCUGACGCUGAGGCACGAAAGCUAGGGGAGCAAACAGG